rnacentral:lncRNA from 1 species
GACAACUCGCGGGGAUUGUUUUCCACACCGUGGAAGCUUUGUUCUUUUCGUUUUUUGCAAUAAAUCUUGUUGCUGCUCGCUUUUUGGGUCCACAUUGCUUUUAUGAGCUGUACCACUCACCGUGAAGAUCUGCAGCUUCACUUCAGAGCCUAGCGAGACCACAAGCUCACUGAGAGGAACAAACAACUCCAGACGCGCUGUCUUAAGAGCUAUAACACUCACCGCGAAGGUGUGCAGUUUCACUCCUGAGCUAGUGAGACUACGAAGCCACUGGAACGAAGAAACUCCAACCACGUUUGAACAUCAGAAGGGGCAGACUCCAGACGCUUCAUCUUAAGAGCUGUAACACUCACUGUGAAGGUCUGCAGCUUCACUCCUGAGCCAGCGAGACCACGAACCGAUCUGAACAUCAGAAGGGACAGACUCCAGAUGCCCCACCUUAAGAGCUGUAAUACUCACUGCAAGGGUCUGCAGCUUCAUUCUUGAAGUCAGACCAAGAACCCAGCAAUUCCCAACACACAGGGACCAGCUUCUUUCCUAACUCACUUAGGCUCUUCGUGCUGCUCUGGCAACUAACACCCUUGGCUGCAGGGGCUUGGACACUACCCUUAGUCACUGACAAUUGUGUGAAGGCUGCUGUCGUUAACUUCACUUGAUCACCUUAGGCUCCUGUGAAGUGGUGAGCAAUUCAAACAAAUUCCUGUCGUCAAAUCAUGAUAUACAUCUUUCCACACCAAUAGACCUUGUUUUCCGAUGUAGCAUUAUUUUUCAUAGUUGGCGAAUAUACAGUUAUGGAUUCAUAACAGCAAGAUGGAGAAAUUGCACUGCAGAGAAAUCUUUAAAAGCAAUUACCUAAUACUGCAGAUUGCUGAACUGUACCCACACCCAAGACUGAGCAUUGGAUCAAUCCAGAAUAUACAUCAGGUGUUCUGCAAUGUCUGCCUAAAACCAUGACUCUGCCUCCUCCAGCUGUUGCUACAUCUCACUAUGGGUUUCCUGUGACAUUUUGAGCAAGUAUGCCUCUGUGACUGGGGUUCUUACACUCCAGAAUGGAUGAGAAGCACCGUAAGUGGCUUUUAAAAUGAAUAUUCCCUGGCCCUUCAGUCGCUCUAUAGGUCAAGAAUCUGAAUUCUCAACCUGUCUAGAAGGUUCUGGUUUUAAUGGUCUGUGGGCUGCACAUUGAGAAACCUGUUCAGCGAGUGCAACAAAGGUUCCACAUGUGAGAAAGGAAGCAUCAGGUCUCUUGAGCCUGUUCUUUAAUCUGUAGGCUGCACCUUCUCUUUAAAUUCUGCUAAUAACACCAUGCGAGAAAACACCCGAGCUUGAAAAGCCCAUGUUCCAACAUAACUGUCCUUCACCACUCUGGAAAAUUAAUGGUUUGUUUCGAUUAUCCCUUUGUUAAACUCCAAAGUCAAAGAGCUCUGAAAGGCAUACGGUUAUUUUAAGUUUCAGGUGAUUUCUGUUGCCAAAUAUUUUAAAAAUUUAAAAUUGCUACGUGACCUCUUAGUAGUACUAUUAGAUUUCCUGACAAUAAAAAUAAGUCUUUUGGUUUCACCAUUUAUAGUUAGUACAGCUAAUAUUAAGUAUAAUUUUAAAAGCCUUUUAUUUUCUCAGAAAGAAAAAAUAAUCAAAAUCUGCUCAGUGUGGUAUUGAAUAAUUAAAAACAAAAGAACAGUAUCUUCACAUUAGUGUUUAAUAUUAAUUGCUUUUUUACCCUUGACACUGGUGCUAAUUAAAUUUUCAUUUUAUUUUCCAUGACUUGUUUAAACAGUUUUUGCAAAUUAUUGCUAAUCAGCCUAAUAAAACUGAAUCACCUAUUAAACAAUUUUGUUUUGAAUUAAAUGGCAUUAAAAUAA